UACGGAGGGGGCUAGCGUUGUUCGGAAUUACUGGGCGUAAAGCGCGCGUAGGCGGCUUUGUAAGUUAGAGGUGAAAGCCCGGGGCUCAACUCCGGAACUGCCUUUAAGACUGCAUCGCUUGAAUCCAGGAGAGGUGAGUGGAAUUCCGAGUGUAGAGGUGAAAUUCGUAGAUAUUCGCAAGAACACCAGUGGCGAAGGCGGCUCACUGGCCCGGUACUGACGCUGAGGUGCGAAAGCGUGGGGAGCAAACAGG
rnacentral:rRNA from 1 species